CUUUGAGAUGGCCUCGCGUCCGAUUAGCUAGUUGGUGAGGUAAUGGCCCACCAAGGCGACGAUCGGUAGCCGGACUGAGAGGUUGAACGGCCACAUUGGGACUGAGACACGGCCCAGACUCCUACGGGAGGCAGCAGUGGGGAAUAUUGCACAAUGGGGGAAACCCUGAUGCAGCGACGCCGCGUGGAGGAAGAAGGUCUUCGAAUUGUAAACUCCUGUUGUUGAGGAAGAUAAUGACGGUACUCAACAAGGAAGUGACGGCUAACUACGUGCCAGCAGCCGCGGUAAAACGUAGGUCACAAGCGUUGUCCGGAAUUACUGGGUGUAAAGGGAGCGCAGGCGGGCGAUCAAGUUGGAAGUGAAAUCCAUGGGCUCAACCCAUGAACUGCUUUCAAAACUGAUUGUCUUGAGUAGUGCAGAGGUAGGCGGAAUUCCCGGUGUAGCGGUGGAAUGCGUAGACAUCGGGAGGAACACCAGUGGCGAAGGCGGCCUACUGGGCACCAACUGACGCUGAGGCUCGAAAGUGUGGGUAGCAAACAGGAUUAGAUACCCUGGUAGUCCACACCGUAAACGAUGAUUACUAGGUGUUGGAGGAUUGACCCCUUCAGUGCCGCAGUUAACACAAUAAGUAAUCCACCUGGGGAGUACGACCGCAAGGUUGAAACUCAAAGGAAUUGACGGGGGCCCGCACAAGCAGUGGAGUAUGUGGUUUAAUUCGACGCAACGCGAAGAACCUUACCAAGUCUUGACAUCCUGCGACGAUGCUAGAAAUAGUAUUUUCCUUCGGGACGCAGAGACAGGUGGUGCAUGGUUGUCGUCAGCUCGUGUCGUGAGAUGUUGGGUUAAGUCCCGCAACGAGCGCAACCCUUAUGGUCAGUUACUACGCAAGAGGACUCUGGCCAGACUGCCGUUGACAAAACGGAGGAAGGUGGGGAUGACGUCAAAUCAUCAUGCCCUUUAUGACUUGGGCUACACACGUACUACAAUGGCGUUAAACAAAGAGAAGCAAGACCGCGAGGUGGAGCAAAACUCAGAAACAACGUCCCAGUUCGGACUGCAGGCUGCAACUCGCCUGCACGAAGUCGGAAUUGCUAGUAAUCGUGGAUCAGCAUGCCACGGUGAAUACGUUCCCGGGCCUUGUACACACCGCCCGUCACACCAUGAGAGCCGGGGGGACCCGAAGUCGGUAGUCUAACCGCAAGGAGGACGCCGCCGAAGGUAAAACUGGUG
rnacentral:rRNA from 1 species